ACGGGAAACUUGCUGAUGUCUGAUCACCCCUGAAUACUUACAUUGUAUCGGGAACCUCGCAGCUCUCGCUACACACCGUGUUUGUAGGCUGCUAAUGAGGAAGCGCGGUUACGAGUGUGCGAUGUUUCAACUGGCUGACAAACCCACUCUAGCUCCAGCUUAUAGUUGAGCAUGCUACAGUUUCAGUUCAAGCUGUCCUGUGUGCACUGUGUUUAAUAUAUACAUGGUUCUCUUACUCACCUGAGCACGUCAGCUGUGGCUAUCCAGUUAUCUGUAACUCCAAAUUAUAUAUUUUGUGUCAUUUUCACAAAUGUAACACUAGUUGCCCUGGAAAUUUGUGGUGGAAAGUAGGAAUUUUGAUAGUGAUUUUGGAUGCAACACAGAAGCCUAAUGUAUAAAAAUGGAAAUUUUUAAUGUGCAGCAAAACAAAGUACUUGUG